CCACUUCUGUAAACUUGAAAGCGU
rnacentral:snRNA from 1 species